GGCGGUGGAGCGUCCUGCUAACCUCUCCAACGGGAGGAGGUUUUUCUUUCCUCUGCGUGGUUUCGGCCCGGUUUCAUCUGCCGUGCGUGCUCCUACAACGCGCGCGGGGUCCGUGUUCGGUAAUUCGGUCCUUCCCGAAGAGAGCUCCAUCGCAGCCGCUUGUGCCGCUGCUGCCAUUAAAUUAUGACUCACGCCGGGAUGAUCGGGAGAGCUGGCCGAUCCAGCCGGAGCUCGCACUGCGCACGCUUGCUGCUGCUGAUGCUACCAAUUUCGACGUCCACAUCUCGCUGUUCGCGUCAUCACUGCUGCUGCUGCUGCUGCUGCUGUAUUGGCUGUAUCGCGCGCUAGUUCACGGUGACGUCACAGCAAGGACGGAAAGAAGAGUAGGAACUGUUCGCUUUCUGUUACUGUUCCGGAAUUCGUCGUGUUGUGCGCGUUGUGUGUGUUUGUGCGCCUGUGUGUGUGUUCUCGCCACCUCGGUGUCCUUGCGUCCCGCUAUCGUCGGAAAAGAUCGGCGAAUUUUUCGUGUCCGUAGAAGGGAGAGGGUCUCGGAUCGAAAAACUAUUACCCUACACUGUGUCAAGGAUUCCCCGUGGGUGUUCUGACGCUUGCUGGAGACGUGACGCCGAGGACUUUCGACUGGGUUAGCGCUAUCGGAGGCUUGCCAGAAGGUUCAUCGAUUAUUCUGCACUACUCGGAGAUGUUGACGGAAGAAGCGCACGAAGUUUCGAGCUACGGAUGUCCUUGCUGAAUGAAUCCUAUCGGCGACUUCGUGAAUGAAUCCUAUCGGCGACUUCGGCGUUGAAGAAUCACGCAUGAAGACGAAAGCAGACGACAGGCUGAAGACGAAAGCAGACGACAGGUUGGACACGGAAGCAGACGACACCUCGUUCGCGAAGACGCAGCUGCGUACACGGAGUACGGGUCCAGCAAUUCGACUGUCCUCCGUAGCUUUCAGGAUGACCUGAAGGUCGAGGAUACGUGUUAUCACGCUUUCCACAACACUGCCUCCCUAUACUACAGUAACAACAUCAGCAACAACCAAGUGUCCUUCCAACUCCCUACGAUCGAAACACGUUCGUUUCUCGCCUUAUGACAUAGUCAAGCUUAACAGCUUAUUCCGUGCAAUCUAAGCUGUGAUUGUUUAAAGUGUAUCCCUUUGUAUUCGCUGCCGUGCUUGAGGUUUGAUCGAGGACGCCAAGUUCGGCACACGAGAUUCGAACGAGAGAAUACGAGACCCGGGCUUUUACGGACCUCCUGGCAUCUUUUAUUUUGCGAGCGACGAUCUCUUAAACAUGUGAUAGGAGAGACAACGCGCCAUGCCCUUUCACUGCCAUUUUAGUUGCCAAUAUGGACGCUUUCUGCUGAGUCAUUCGAGACUGAGAGUGUGGAGAUAAGUGUCUGUUCUGGUGCGCUUCGGUGAAUCGGCGCAACUUGAUUUAAAUAGUUGAGUAAAGAAGUAAGGAAUAGAAUUUAA
rnacentral:lncRNA from 1 species